UGGCUACAAUCCCUGCUAUCUUCAACGCACUUGGAAUCAUUGCCCUUUCUUUUAGAGGUCACAACCUUGUGCUUGAGAUACAAGGAACAUUACCAUCAAGUUCAAAACAUCCCUCAAGCAAGUCAAUGUGGAGAGGAGUGCUUCUAUCAUACCUUAUUAUAGCAAUGUGCAUAUUGCCAGGGGAAAUAUGNNNNNNNNNNNNNAUGGAAACAAGAUACCUACAAAAGUAGGAAAUACAAGCAUAUUUCUACAAUUUUACAGCCAAA
rnacentral:misc_RNA from 1 species